GAUGAACGCUGGCGGCGUGCCUAAUACAUGCAAGUCGAGCGAACUGAUUAGAAGCUUGCUUCUAUGACGUUAGCGGCGGACGGGUGAGUAACACGUGGGCAACCUGCCUGUAAGACUGGGAUAACUUCGGGAAACCGAAGCUAAUACCGGAUAGGAUCUUCUCCUUCAUGGGAGAUGAUUGAAAGUUGGUUUCGGCUAUCACUUACAGAUGGGCCCGCGGUGCAUUAGCUAGUUGGUGAGGUAACGACUCACCAAGGCAACGAUGCAUAGCCGGCCGGAGCGGGUGAUCGGCCGACCUGGGACUGAGACACAGCCAAGACUCCGACGGGAGGCAGGAGUAGGGAAUCUUCCGCAAUGGACGAAAGUCUGACGGAGCAACGCAGCGUGAGUGAUGAAGGCUUUCGGGUCGUAAAACUCUGUUGUUAGGGAAGAACAAGUACGAGAGUAACUGCACGUACAUUGACGGUACCUAACCAGAAAGCCACGGCUAACUACGUGCCAGCCGCCGCGGUAAAAC
rnacentral:rRNA from 1 species